rnacentral:lncRNA from 10 species
CUCCAUGAAAGUGAGGUCAUCAUUCGUUUCAGGAAGUUGAGUGAGGCCUGAGACAGCAAUGUUUCGUUUAGCCUGGCGGUGGCCCUCCUUGUCUUCAAGAAGAGCAUCCGUGGCUAGCAGUGGAAGAUGGGGUUGGGCCCCAGGACUGACCAGGCAGUUCUGCCACCUUCUAGGAGUGUGAAAUUGGGAAGUAAUUCAAAAUGUAUGUGCCUAGCAUUCCUUUUAUGUAACAUGAGGGGAAUAGAAGUACCAAACCGAUGCAGUUCAGUGGAGAAUUAAAUGAGAUAGUCACAAGUAAAAGGUGGGCAGAAGAUAUUUACUAAUUAGCACAUUCUGCUAGCACAUCUGUGGGAAAAGAGACGCGAUCUUACUGCAUUGACCAGGAUGGUCUCAAACUCCUGGCUACAGGCUAUCCUCCUGCCUCUGUCUCCCAAAGCGCUGGGAUUACAAGCGUGAGCCACCAGGCCUGGCCCAAUUGCUUCUUAACAACUUACUAUUCUUUGUUCACUACAGUGUAUACAUAACUGACUUUUUAUUUGGAUCUUCAUUUUGUAAUGAAGGCUCUGGUCACAUGUAAGACUUGUAUUAAAUAAAUUUGCCUGCUGUUCUGUUAAUCUGUGUUAUGCUAAUUUAAUUCUUGAGCCCAGCUGGGUCCUGGAGAGGAUAGAGUGAAAUUUUGUGGCAGCUACGUAAGUCAAUGAAAUUGGAAACAGAAAAACAAUCUUUAAAAAUCAAUAAAAUCAUAAACUUAUUCUUUGAGAAGAUCAAUAUAGUUUAUAAACCUUUCAACUGACUCACCCACAGGGAAAAAGAAGAAAACAAAAAUCAGGAGGGAGGGAAUGUUAUUACAAAUUUUGCGGAUAUUAAAAGGAUUAUAAGGGAACAUUACAAACAACUCCUUGUCCAUAAAUUGAUCAAUUUACAUGACAUGGAAUAUUACUUGAAAGGCACAAACUACCAAAGCUCACUCAGGAAGAAUGGAUAACCUAGAUACUUGCGUGUAUGUAUGUGUGUGCAUACAUACAAUUUUUACACACACACACACACACACACAUAUAUAUAUAUAUAUGCACAGUUAAUUUUUUCUAUCUUUUGUAGAGAUGGGUUUUUACCAUGUUGCCUGGGCUGGUCUUGAACUCCUGGGCUCAAGCGCUCUGCCCACCUUGGCCUCCCAAAGUGCUGGGAUUACAGGCUUGAAACACUGCACCUGCCUGGCCUGAUAUAUAUUUCAAAACUGAUUUAAUAGAUAAAGCCUUCCAACAACAACAAUAAAAAAAACAAUAUUGAGAUGAAUUCAUUGGUGGAUUCUACUAAACAUUUAAAGAGUAAAGAUGUGAAUUUUAAAUAAACCCAGAAACAAAAAGAGAAGGGAACACCCA